UACAGAGGGUGCGAGCGUUAAUCGGAAUUACUGGGCGUAAAGCGUGCGUAGACGGUUAUCUAAGUCGGAUGUGAAAGCCCCGGGCUCAACCUGGGAAUUGCAUUCGAGACUGAAUAGCUAGGGUGCGGUAGAGGGAAGCGGAAUUUCCGGUGUAGCGGUGAAAUGCGCAGAUAUCGGGAGGAACACCGGUGGCGAAGGCGGUUCUCUGGGCCUGACCUGACGCUGAGGAGCGAAAGCGUGGGGAGCGAACAGG
rnacentral:rRNA from 1 species